AACAAAAGAACAUGACAGUGACAGAAACUGCUUUACGUUUUUUUUUUUUUAACUUAAAACUGCUUUGUGUUUCUAGCCACUUUUAUGUUCUUCAGCUAACUUUUGCUGCUCCAAAAAUUAUCGAAUCCAUUAAAAGAGAUCCGAACAACAAAAGACAGCACACAGUCUGCUGGCAGAUCCGAUUAAAACUCCAAGAUCGAAAAUAUAUAAAUAUUUGGAAAAUAAGUCAUAAAUCAUUUAAAUAUAAUCUGCCUCUUUUAUUAAUAUUUAAUAUAUGUAGUUCACUACAAAAAAAAUGUGAACAUUGUGACUAAAUAUUAUGACAAAAUAUUUUGUCACAAUAUUGUGACUAUUUACAUACGGGGUAGUGACUAAUUUGUUUUGUCCCAAAAUCGUGAAUAUUUUGUCACAAUGUCGUGACGAAUGUUAAAAGUAACGAAAAACGUUACCAAAAGUUACGAAAAUGUGACGAAGUGGUUAGUCACAAGUAUUGUUACGGAAUCGAGACUAGAAGUCGUCCCUACUUGACACGAUUUCAUGGCUUACAUAUUGUCACCAUGGGUGACAAAAGUUUGUAAUCAUAUCAUUUAAACUUGUUUCGGGGUUGAUGACUUUUAAUUUAGUCAUAAUUGUGACAUAAAAUACUACUAUAUAUUCUAUCACUAUUAUAAUAUGCGUAAAACAAAUAUCUAACAGUCAUACAAAAUUAUAAAAUUCACUUAUAAUCUAAACUUUAACCUCAUACUUUAUAUCUAAACCUCAAAUUGUAUUCCCCAAACUCCAAACCCUAAAUAAUAAAGCUAACACUCAACACUCAUCGUUGAAGUUAAAAUCAUAAAUAAUAACCAAAUAUAAUCACUAGUUAUAUAUAUAAAUUUACAUGUAAAAAUUAAUAAAUUUAAUAUUUUCUAAAAAUAUGAAUUAAAUUUAUUACAUAUAAUAUUAAUAACCAACAAUUUAAUAUUUUAUAAUUCCUAAGUCGUAACACCAACAUUAAAACAAACCUGAAAUCAUUUGCCCAAAACUCAAAAUUCUAAAUCAUAACUCUAUAUACUUGAACUUAGAACUUUAAGUCAUAGAAAUUAAAUCACAAAUCCUAAUAAUAGACGUUCACUUUAAACACAUACAUGAAACCCUAUACCCUAAACUCUAAAUCAUAAAUUAUGUCUUAAUUUUUAUCAUAAAAUUUUAAAUAUUAAACUAUUACACCGAUAUAUAACCAUUGUAUACGUACAUAAACUAACUAACUUUAGCAAGCAAAUCAAAUAAUUAAUCUAGAAACCAAAACUGAAAAACCAUGUUUUUUUUUAACGCAUGUUUUGGUUUUGGCUCCAGAUUAUUUGGUUUUGACAUUAAAUAUUUUAGGUUUCCCACGUUUUGAGAAUAUGCUCUAUCUCAUAACCCUAUUUGACGCUUAUAUAGUUAUAUCUCUUUUUAUUUUUUUAGGUGUAGCCUCCAUCUACUAUUUUCUCUCUUUCUCUAGCAAAUCAGCAAUCCUGUUAGAUUCUUCUUUUUUAUUCGUUUCAUCCAUUUGAUUCUAUCUCCAAGGAUCCGUACUGCCAGUGGAAUGUACUAGUCGAUAUUUCGGAUACAGAUGUAGAUACAGCCACUACUUUGUAGUAGAUCUGACCACUGCUGUGUCAAAGGCUUUCCUCCGGAGUAUAUGAAGAGCCAAUGCCAAUGAUGAUGGCGGAGGUAUAGACAAGGGCGGAAGGAGAAGCUACGAAUCUCGUUUGGUUGCUGUGGUUUGACGGAGGCAAAGGAGGUGGUGUAGGAGACCCGUUUACCCUAAUUUGCUUUGAUUUGUUUUGUAUCAUAAUUGGUUAUCUAAUACCAGCUUAAUUUUUGUAAUCAGUUAACUGAUAUGUGGUUUGGGUUGUCGAUAAAAUAUAUUCUAAUUAAAAUUUCUUUUUAUUUUAAUUUAAUUUUCUUUUUAACAUGAAUCAGGUUUUAUUUAAUUUUAAAUUUAAAGUAUAUUUUAACUAAUUAAUUUUAUCAACAGAAUUAAAAAUACAUAUAAAAGCCACACAAUAACAGUAAAUUAUUUGGUAAGCAUUUGUUAAUUGCUACAAAUAUUGAAGUGAUUACUUAGUUACAAAAUGUAACGAAAGUGUGACAGAAAUACUGUUACAAAUUGUAUCAUAAUUACAAACGUAAUUGUGUGUAACAAUUUGUGACGCUUUGUGACUACUUUAUCUCGUAACAGUUUGUAAUGAAACUGAUACUAUUGUAAUGGUCUCUAUAAUUGUGACAUUUUUAUGACUAAUUUGAAUUUGUGACGACUUUAUUGCAACCCUUCAGAAACCGUCACAUAUUCGUCACAAUAGAUAAUUUGUGACAAAAUAUUUGUAUAUUGUGACUAAAAUCAUUGUCACAAUAUGUACUUUUUCUUGUAGUGGUUCUCCUAUUACAUUUAGCUAAAUAAACAUCUAUACUACUCCCUCCCUUUUAUAAAGUAAAUAGUUUUGGCUAAAAGCACAAAGAUAAAAAAAAUUAUUAUGUUUUAAAAAGUAUUGUAUAAUAAAUAGGUCAGAUACAACUUAACCAAUCAAAAAUAAUUUUAUUUAAUUUGAUUGGUCACACUAUAUUCAAUAAAUGUAAAAAUUACCUAGAAACAUGAAAAUUACUUACAUUUUGAAACAAAAAAUUUUCUUUAAAACUACUUACAAUAUGAAACUGAAAGAGUAUUAAAAAGUGGAUUAAAAUCUUUUUUUUAAGUGUUAAGUCUAUGCGGAGAGCUUUGACGAUGGAGGCGCUAACACCAAAACCUUCCGAGAGUACUGUGAAGAGAUGGCCAUCAUAUGUCUUGAAAGACACAACCAAGACAAGGUUAGUUCCUUUUCUUAAAUUUAACUUGUUUGGGUUUGUGUAGUUUUCAUUUAAGUACAUCAAAGUCUGAAUCUCUUAUGUUUCUGAUUGGUUAAAAGGAUUCAAAUGUGGAGUUUGUUGAGGUGGUAAGAGGAAACUAUCGAGGAGGACCGAGACCCAAGUCAUACAUUACAUUCAUGGCCAGGGAGAAACCGGAUGGACCUCUUGUCGAGUAUCAAGCCAAGGCUAUGGCUACUCUUGACAGAAAGUUUCAUCCCAUCCUCUGUAGACCGGCUCCUACUAAUUAAGGUAUAAUAUGGGUUUCCUCUUAGCCAGUUUUAGAUUAAUCAAACGUAUUUAGAUGUUUAUGUCAUAUAUUAUCUAAAUUUAAAUGAUCUAGUGGCUGUAAUGUUUUAACGUAUGAGUCUGUUUAUGCCUUGUAAUCAUGAUUCUAGUAGACUUUUGUAACAUAUUUUAACUUGAGCAAUUUGUACUAUGAUUAUGUGUUUUGUCAUGUGGAUCAUGACUCCUAGCACCUAAACCUUUGAUUUUACCUUUUCAUGUAGCUUUCUCUCUAUUGUACCAUAUUUGAUGGAGUUCCAACUUCUAAAAUGUUUCUUAUGGGCUUUAUAAACUAAAAGGAGUUGUUUCAUCAAAUACUUUGAAUAUCAGUAAAAUCUGUAAACGUCAUAAAAAGUUGGAACACCGAACAUGUAGCUAGAUGCACCAUUACAAAAUGCCAUAAAAAAUAAAGAUCUCAUGGAGAAUUAAGUAGCAAAAUAUAGUGAAACAUAGCAAAAUAAAUCCAUCUCUAACAACAAAAGGCCACAUUAAUCUUUUGUACAAAUGAAAACAAGAGUUGACAGAACUAGUUAUACUGAUUCAAUGAAUAUACAUACUGAUUCAGAAAGGAAUCGAACUGAAUUGAAUUCAAUGAAUAUACUGAUUCAAAAUAUGGUGAAACAUAGCAAAAUAAAGCCAUAUCUAACAACAACAGGCCACAUUAAUCUCAUUUCCUAAAUCCAUCACCAAGAAUGAUAUACUGAUUCAGAAAGGAAUCGAAUUGAAUUUGUCUCUUCAACACCAAGCCAGAUUCAGAUUCUUAAUCUUUUUGUACACAUAAACGCAUGAAAUUUUCUAUGCAAUUGACCAAAGUCACCAAACCUAUUAAUACAAAGGAAUUUGAUAGAAUCAACAGAACGUUCAUAAAAACGACUCUCCAUAUUUCAAAAGGUGAAUGAUACAAUAGACAUUUUGCAGCAGAGUGUGGGCAGGUUCUAAGUAAAUGAUUUCAACCACUAAGAGUUAACUAAUCAAAAUAUCAUAUGACUAAAUCCCGAGUUCAAGACAAAACAUAUCCUAAAAGUUGUAUACUUUUUAAUCUUGUAAGAAAACAAAACAGGAACACAACCAGUUUUGACAACGAAACAUCAGAACUGCAAUAACGAAAGGGGUUCCCUAAAUUUGAAAUCAACCUCGAGAUUCGAAGCGUAAGAGAUUAAAACUUACCAGAGAUGGGAACAAAUCCAAUUUGACGAUGAUUCAGCUGGAAUUCUAGGGUUUUUCGUCGGAAUCGAAUUGGG